rnacentral:lncRNA from 1 species
GUCAAUACGAUCCGAUCAAUUACGAGAUAUGGAAUUGUGUCAAUCUCGAUCAUCGAUCAUAUCUUUCAUUCCACUAUUAAGUCAAUAUAAAUCGAAAACUCCUUUUCGACUUAUGAGUACACCUUGGCCAAGGAUUUCAUCAUCGACUUAAUUGAAUGAAACGCAGAUUAUCUCCUACUAUCUAAGAGUGACGAAUCCUUUAUUGAUCAAUCACAACCUUCAUACGAUUCUUGACGUACCCGAACGAUGUCGUAUUAGCGGCCCUUUUCAGAGCAACAUCCAACACCGCCAAAGUAUGACUGUCCUCAUAUAGGGUACUAUGACGACCUCAAGUCAAAGGAUCAAUCCCACUAUCGAACGUUAGAGAUUAGCCACUGACACUCAGAUAGUUAUCCAUGUGGAAUCUCUUAGCGGGUCUCCAAUGUUUUGUUCUACAACAAAACAUCCACAUGUUCAUUUAAGUGUCACCACACUUUAGCUCGUGAGAUCAGCUACUUACUUCAUAAGUAAGAAAUGCCACACGUGAUGGUUUAACUGUAUUAACGAUAUCCGUAUCUCGUUAUUACUUACGACCAUGGUUUAUUCAAGAUCCAAUUAUAUGUAAUUUGUAUCUCACAAUCACAAUUCCUUGUGAUUAACAGAUUACCUAAAAAUUGGGUCUUAGGAUUCUAUUAUUUAAUAUUAUUUAUUACAAAAUUAAUUUAAAUAAAUAAUAGAUCUCGCCAAAAUCAAAUGCAUUAAAUAUAUUAAAAGCGUUUACAACCUAAAUCGAUUGGAUUUAGGGCAUAACACUUACACCUAUGUUGCUGAGUGUGGAUAAUUGUUCAACCCGGGUGAAGAAAACGUGAUCCUUUUAAAUGCGCCUCUUCAAUUAAUUGAUUCUUGAUCAGGCUGUACACUUGGCCAUCUUCCAACCGUUGAUCUGUGGCUUUUUGAUUAAUUGCUUAAAGUAGUGUUUGGCCAUUCAUUUUAGAGACGGUUGAACUUUGUGUUUUAGGGUUUUCUCUCCACUUCCUCUCUAAUCACACUGUAUAUUCUUUGUGAGUUUCUUGAUUUGAAAAUCUGAGUGAUUUUGAGAUUCUACACUUGAUGUAUACUGUGAGAAAGGUUCUUAGUGAUUUGGUGUGGUUUUGUACUAUGUGUUGAAGCUAGAGGAAACAUCGAAGAAAUCUCUGAUUUCUUCGUACAUAUUGUAACUUUUCUUGGUGAUUUCUUAGUGGAUCUAGAGCUUUAUCGACUUGUGAAUGCUCAACGGGUGAGUAGGUCGUAAGACUGAACAUUCGGACCUUUUGUGGUGAAAAAUUCCUCGUGUUCUUGAUUCUUUUUAAGUUACUGCAAUUUUAAUAUGUUUUAUUUCUGAAAAUACAAUUUUAAACUAGAUCGUGAUACCAACAGAACCCAGAUGAAAAAUGCAUAUUCUAGUUCUCAAAUAACCUUCACUCUUCGUUGUUUGCUAUCAUAUGAGAAAGAGUACCCAUUAUGAGAUUUAAAUUUCUUGGAACCUUUUUCUUUUUAUUCCAUAUCAUUUCAUUCAAUCAGGCAUUUUCUGUACUUCAAUUUAGUUGGAGACAACAUGUCUUGAACUUCAACUACAACUUGAAAGGUACAAUCUAUUUUCCUAAUGUUAUAGUUAAGUUUAUUCAUCAGUAAUUAAUGACUCUUGUUGAUUCUUCAAGAUAUGUGCCAGUAAGCAGAAUCCACACGACAAUGAAAAUGAAGUAGAGAAGUUGCACAAAAGUUUUGCUCAGAAUUACGGGAGAAUAAAUUGAACAGGCAAGUUUAUAACAAUAGACUCAAUAAGGGUAAUGGAAAAAAUUUGACAUGUUGGUUAAUUUGUUGACAGUAAAUUUGUAAUCUCCGUAGCCAGACUUCCCCUUGACAUGUGUGUAAAAAAUUUCAUAUUGCUAAUGUUGUUUUCCUCUAAAUUUCUGCAAAUAUACUCCGAUAUUGUUUUAUUUGAUAGCUAUGUAGUCUUUCAUAUUCAAAGAUCAUAAACUGUGUUAAAUGAUUUCCUUUUAACAAUCAUAUUGUUUUAUAAUAGAAUUUUCCCAGCAUUUGUAAAAUUAUUAAAUUUUAUAUCUGUUUUGCGCAGCACAUAUCUCGUUAUCCGAUUCAAGAUUGCGAUUAUCCAACGUUAUUUAUUUAGUGUUUCAGUUGCUAUAUUUAGUUGUAAUUUGCUGUUCCCUAUAUUAUUCCCUCAUCUCGUAGAUGAGUAGAUGAUAUAAUUUUUUAUUUUAUUUUAUUUAUUAUUAUUAUUUUUUGUGUGCAUAUAAUGUGCUAAAGAACGUUUGUGUUUUAUGUAUAGACAAAAUAAAACUUUUGGUAAAUGAGACGGUUCGAUAAAUUUCUAUAUAAAGGCUGUUCUCUUCGUAUUGUUUUAUUGGCUUGUCCUAUUGGCAAUUAAUAUUUUGUGAAGAGUAAGGAGAAGAAGAUCUAACUGCUAAUAUCUAUAUCCAUAUCCAUAAUAUCUUCCAUAUGUAUGAAUUUGAACUAUUAAUUAUUUUUGUGAUUCUUGUUCUUUAUCAUGAUUAUCGUUAAAUUUAACAUCCCUGCAUGUUGUUGGUGGAUAUUGCCCAUAUGGUGACGUGUCGCGAUGGUGGAUACAACAGUGGCGAUGGUGAAGUUGGACGUGGAAGUGGAAGUAGCGAAGGCAGCUAAUUUGGGAUAAACAUUGAACGGUAUUAUCUACCAACCUUCUUUCACAUUUUCAAAAAAUAAUUAAAAAAAAAUCAAAAAAAUAAAAAAUUGACAAGAAUUUUGUAUUGUCAAGAGCAUCUCUAACAAGAAAUUUGGUCAUAUUUCUCCUCAUUUGGAACACAAGAUAUUUUCAUCGUCCACAGUAAUUUUUUUGCACCAACAUAUCCACCAACUUAAAAAAAUCUCUUGGAGCAUGAUUUUAAGAGUUGGCUUUUUAAAAUCAUGCUCCAAGAGACUAUUUAAUUACUCUUUAAAUUAAUAUUUUAAUUUGGAGAGUGUUUAGCUCUUCAAAUUUCACUUUCUAUAAUUAAAUGCAUUCAAAGUAUUUCAAUUUUUAAUGUAAAAAAUAAUAUAAUAAUCAAGAGAAAAACUAUUUAAAAUAAAAGAUAGAAAAAAAUAAUAAAUAUUUUUUGUGAUUAGUAAAUUAAGUGUUAAAUAUAAAUUACUUAUUAGAAUAUUUAAAAAAUUUUAUUUUUGUUUGCUUAGGUCGCAUCUUCUUUGAAAGCUUCUAGGAACAAUUGUUUAAUGCUUUUGACGGACCCUUUGAUGUGUGUAUGACUUGCGUUACGCGUUUUUGAUACUGCGGAGAGUGAUAACAAGGACUGAUUUCAAACCUGGAUAUUAAAGGCACUAAUUUUAUGCUUGACAGGAUUUUAAAGGCACUAAUUUUAUAAAAGAGAUUUUGGUGAUUAGAAGAACUUUUAUAGAAAGUUGGUCUAACGUGACUUUUUUUAAAAAUACUUAUAAAAUAGGAAGUUCUUUUAAAAAUUAGUUUUCAAAUAAAAAUUAAAGUAAUUUCCUUUUAAAACUCUUUUACAGCAAGCAAAAACAAAAGCUAUACCAAUUAGGUAGGGUAUUUGGCCCAUAAUUGUUAGGCUUGAGCUCCAUACAUGAUUGGCCCAUGAGUAUGUUGACGGACUUAUGCAGUCGAGAUUGGUCUGAUCUUCUAUUGUUGCUUGUUCGAGAAAGCUAAAAAAUUUGUUAAAAGUUUAUGAUCAAAGUUAACAAUUAAUUUUUUUUAUGAAUAUUUCAUUACUAUUUAUUAAAAUCUAUUAAUUUUCAUUUUAUAAAUAGCUGUGUCAAGCAACGCAUAGUGCAUUUGAUGGAUAGAUAUAUAUUGUGAAGAUUGUUAUUGCCUUUCAUUUUUAAUUUGUGAAUCUUGUAGAAUAGAACUAAUUACAAGUUGAGGGUCUAAUAAAGAAAGGAAAAUAUAGGGACGUAUAGUCUUUAAAAAUUAAAAUCAAG